GGUAAAAAGAAACCCUAAAGCAUACAUUCAUUUUGUUGGGCAUAUUAGGGUAAAAAGAAACCCUAAAGUCUACAUUCAUUUUGUUUGUUUUUUUCCCUUCUUCUAUUGUUCUGUCGCCACCAUGAGGGUUUUUGCUCCUUUGAGGGUUUGGAAAUUUGAUUGUAGGUCUUGUGCACCUUGAAGCCGCAAUGGCUGUCCUUAUGACUGCUCGUGUCUCUUGUCUCAGACGUAGAACCUAUGGGCCUUCUCUUAUUUGCCCAGUUUAUUGCGAGGCAACUAGGAGUAGCUAGGAGCAUCAACUGGAUGUAGGACAAGCAGAAGACUAAAGAUGAUACAAAUACAAGUAAACUCAACCAGGGCUUGUCAUUCAGGCACUGAUGGGUCACCCUUCUCUAUAUGUGCAUUUAUCUUUCUUUGUAUCUAUAAAUGUAUAUUUUUUCCUUUCAUUUGUACUAAAAGAGUUAGUCUCAUAGCUUGUGUGAGACCCUAUACAUCUACAUUAUCAAUAAAGAUUACUUUUUUUGAAAGAUUGUACAAUCUUUCCUA